CCAGGGCUGCGGGCGGCCGUGACCCUGGUGGAGUCCGGGGGUGACCUCAAGGCCCCGGGGGAGUCCCUGCGGCUCCUCUGCCGCGGCUCCGGCUUCACCUUCGGGGACUACGACAUGGAGUGGGUGCGCCAGAGCCCCGGGAAGGGGCUGGAAUGGGUCGCUGGGAUCGAUGCUGGUGGUAGAACCGGCUACGCGCCAUCGGUUUGGGGCCGGUUCACCAUGGCCAGGGACAACGGGCAGAGUUCGGUGACGCUGCAGAUGAACAACCUCAGGGAGGAGGAUUCCGCCACCUAUUUCUGCGCCAGAGGUGUUGUUGGUGGUGUUUAUGGUGUUUAUGGUAUCGACGCCCUUGGCGGGGUCCCCUCAUGUCCCCAGACCCCAGACCCUCCCCCCAAACCUCCACCCUUCGCACCCAGCUCUCGGUCGUUGGUCCCGACCUUGGGCUGGUGUUUCCUCAAUUCUCAACCGUUGACCCCAAACCCCAACUCUUUGCACCCAGCUCUUGGUCUUUGA